rnacentral:rRNA from 1 species
GGCCUUGACAUGCAGAGAACUUUCCAGAGAUGGAUUGGUGCCUUCGGGAACUCUGACACAGGUGCUGCAUGGCUGUCGUCAGCUCGUGUCGUGAGAUGUUGGGUUAAGUCCCGUAACGAGCGCAACCCUUGUCCUUAGUUACCAGCACGUUAUGGUGGGCACUCUAAGGAGACUGCCGGUGACAAACCGGAGGAAGGUGGGGGUGACGUCAAGUCAUCAUGGCCCUUACGGCCUGGGCUACACACGUGCUACAAUGGUCGGUACAAAGGGUUGCCAAGCCGCGAGGUGGAGCUAAUCCCAUAAAACCGAUCGUAGUCCGGAUCGCAGUCUGCAACUCGACUGCGUGAAGUCGGAAUCGCUAGUAAUCGUGAAUCAGAAUGUCACGGUGAAUACGUUCCCGGGCCUU